GCCGGGUGUGGUGGCACGUGCCUGUAAUCCCAGCUACUCAGGAGGCUGAGGCAGGAGAAUCACUUGAACCUGGGAGGCAGAGGUUGCAGUGAGCCAAGAUCGUGCCACUGCACUCCAGCCUGGGUGACAGAGUGAGACCCUGUCUCAA
rnacentral:sRNA from 1 species